AAAUGGGCAGUGAACUGCACCCUGUUGGAAGUUAUCACUCAAUCUUUAUAUCUAUAAUUUCCAUGCUAUUGCAUAUACACGCAUGAAAAGGAGCCAAAAGGAACAGUUUAUCAUCCGAAGCAUUUGCAAAAAUGUUAAAAUUCUUAUAUUUUUAACAAUUUGAGGAAGAAACUUAAUCAGCACAUGCAAAUUAGUUAAAUGGUUCACAUGCUAAAAUGAUCCAAACAGGAAAUUGAAGAAAUUCUCGAUAGUAGUGGCAAAUAGAGAGUAAAAUCUUUG
rnacentral:misc_RNA from 1 species